rnacentral:rRNA from 1 species
UGCCGCGUGUGUGAAGAAGGCCUUCGGGUUGUAAAGCACUUUUGUCAGGAACGAAACGGUGGGGGCUAAUACCUCCUGCUAAUGACGGUACCUGAAGAAUAAGCACCGGCUAACUACGUGCCAGCAGCCGCGGUAAUACGUAGGGUGCGAGCGUUAAUCGGAAUUACUGGGCGUAAAGCGUGCGCAGGCGGUUGUGCAAGACAGAUGUGAAAUCCCCGGGCUUAACCUGGGAAUGGCAUUUGUGACUGCACGGCUAGAGUGUGUCAGAGGGGGGUAGAAUUCCACGUGUAGCAGUGAAAUGCGUAGAUAUGUGGAGGAAUACCGAUGGCGAAGGCAGCCCCCUGGGAUAACACUGACGCUCAGGCACGAAAGCGUGGGGAGCAAACAGGAUUAGAUACCCUGGUAGUCCACGCCCUAAACGAUGUCAACUAGUUGUCGGGUCUUAAUUGACUUGGUAACGCAGCUAACGCGUGAAGUUGACCGCCUGGGGAGUACGGUCGCAAGAUUAAAACUCAAAGGAAUUGACGGGGACCCGCACAAGCGGUGGAUGAUGUGGAUUAAUUCGAU